rnacentral:rRNA from 1 species
UACGAAGGGGCUAGCGUUGCUCGGAAUUACUGGGCGUAAAGGGAGCGUAGGCGGAUAGUUUAGUCAGAGGUGAAAGCCCAGGCUUAACCUUGGAACUGCCUUUGAUACUGAGGAUCUUGAGUUCGGGAGAGGUGAGUGGAACUGCGAGUGUAGAGGUGAAAUUCGUAGAUAUUCGCAAGAACACCAGUGGCGAAGGCGGCUCACUGGCCCGAUACUGACGCUGAGGCACGGAAAGCGAUGGG